CCAAUCUUUAAGAGCGAAACGGUGUAUGCCUUGGCAUCUGGAGCCGAAGAAGACGUAGCAAUCUGCGAUAAGCCUCGGGGAACUGAUAAGCGAGUUUUGGAUCCGAGGUGUCCGAAUGGGGAAACCCGCCAGGGCGCGUGCGUACCUGGGGACUCCCGCCUGAUAUAUAGGGCGGGUAGGGAACGUGGGAAGUGAACAAUCUCAGUAUCCCACAGGAAGAGAGAAAGCAACAGCGAUUCCGUGAGUCGUGGCGAGCGACAUCGAAGAGGCUAAAAAACCUACGUUGUGUAGCCGCAGGCGUGUGCUGUUGGGGGUUUGUGGGACUUUCGGAUUGUUCUGCCGAGCAUCAGCGUACGUGACAAGAGGGUUAUAGACGAACGGUUUUGAAUGCCGGUCAAGAGGGUGGAACCCCGUUCGAAAGCUUGUUCUUGGCCGGAAGAGUAAUCCCAAGUAUCACGGGCCCGAAAAUCCCGUGUUAAUCUGUCAGUAAACCACCGAUAAGCCUAAAUACUCCCAGAUGAACGAUAGCGACAAUACCCCGUGAGGGAAAUGUGAAAAUUACCCCGGAGUGGAGUGAAAUAGUACCGUGAAACCUUUUGCUUUACAACGUUUGGAGCCUCCUUAGUAGGGUUACAGCGUGCCUUAUUGAAGAAUGAUCCGGCGAGUUAGCGAUACGUGCGAGGUUACCCGUGUGGGGUAGCGUAGCGAAAGCGAGUCUGAAUAUGGCGAUCAGCGCGUGUCCUAGAUACACCAUCGAAGUGUCUAUCAUGGCCAUUUUUAAAGCGACGGGAAGACGUCGUUGGAAGGACCGAACCCCCUUAGGGUUGAAACUGAGGGAUGAGCUGUGGAUAGGGGUGAAGGCCAAUCAAACUUCGUUGAUAGCUAGCUGGUUCUCUCCGAAAUGCAUUUAGGUGCAGCUUUUUGCGUGUUUCUUCGCCGGAUGUAAGAGCUACUGGAUGGCCGAUGGGCCCUACAAUGUUUACUGACGUCAGCCAAACUCCGAAUGCCGGUAAGUGAGAGCGCAGCAUUGAACUGUGGGGGAUAAGCUUCUCCAUAGUCGAGGGAACAACCCAGACCCCAACUAAGGUCCCUAAGGCCGUGCUAAGUGGGAAAGAUGGUGAGUUGCUUGACACAGGAGGUUGGCUUAAGCAAGCCACCCUUGAAGAGUGCGUAAUUCUCACUUGUCAAGUGAUUCCGCGCCUGACAAUGUAACGGGCUCAAGCACGCCAACCGAACGUUGUGGCAUUGACAUUUUUGGUAGGAAAGCCUUCGUUGUCCAGCCGGUUGGCAUUGGUUAGGAGAGCGUCGGUGUUGCGAUUGAAGCGGCGGGUUACCCGCUCGUGGACCUACAACGAGUGAGAAUGCAGUGCAUGAGUAGCGAAAGAACGUGUGAUAAACCACGUCCUCCGAGACCAAGGGUUCCAUGGUCAGCUAAUCUUCCCUGGUAAGUCGGUGCCUAAGGCUAGGCCGACAGGCUAGUCGAGGGACAACGGUUAUAUUCCCGUGUCCUACCGGCGAAGACCUGCCCAAGCUAAAUCCAGGGUGCUAAGAGUCCUAUCUCGAAUGUUCCGGAUCCCUUCGGGGUGAUGGUCGUCCGUGUUAACCGCUCGACCCCAUGCGGUGCGGCUAGCGUAUUAACAGGUGUGACGCAGGAAGGUUGCCCAAGCCAGGCGAUGUUGUACCUGGGCAAUUGCGUAGGGGCCGACUCUUCGGGCAAAUCCGGGAGUGCAUGACUGAGACAAACUAUGCGGAUAAAAAGUGGGUGAUCCUACGCUGCCGAAAAAGCAUCGACCUAGGUUCUAGCUGCCCGUACCCCAAACCGACUCAGUGGUCAAGUAGAGAAUACCAGAUGAGAUCGAUAGAAUCGUGUUAAAGGAACUCGGCAAAAAUGCCCCGUAACUUUUUCGGGAGAAGGGGUCCAUCCACUUAUUAGGACUUGCCUCCGAAGGGUGUGGGUGUGCCGCAGAGACUAGGGUAGCGACUGUUUUACUAAAAACACAGUUCCGUGCCAGUCGCAGACGAUGUAUACGGACGGACGCCUUGCCCGGUUGCUGGAAGGUUAAGAGUACCGGUUAGCCGCAAUGCUAAGCUGAGAAUUUAAGCCCCCAGUAAACCGGCGGUGGUACUAUAACAUCCUAAGGUACGAAAUUCCUUGUCGGGUAAAUUCCGACCUGCACGAAUGGCGUAACGCGACUUUCCCAAUCUGUCUCAAACCGCGGAACUCUCGGCGUAAUUGCAUUACGAUUAAAGAUGCUCGUUUACGCGCAGCAGGAACGUAAAGACACCCCGUGACCUUUACUACAGCUUGGUAUUGGUUUCGGUGUGGCUUGGUAGGAUAUUGGGGAGACGUGAAGCAUUCACGCCAGUGAGUUGUGGAGUCAUUGUUGAAAUAACCACCGGUCACUCUGGAUAUCUAAACUUAGGACCGUGAUCCGUUCACAAGGGACAGGUGGCCUGGUGGGUUUUACUGGGGCGGGUUGCCUCCCCAACAUGUAACGGAGGCGCCCAAGGUUCCCCUCAACCUGGUUUGGCAAUCAGGUGGCGAUUGUAAGUUCACAAGGGAGCUUGACUGUGACCUGACAUGUCCGAGCAGGGACGAAAGUUCGGGUUGGUGGGUGGGUUGGAUGAGGGGUGGUGGUGGGGUGGUUGUCGGGCACGUGUUGGGUCCUGAGGGAACGAGCAUUCUCCUCGGUCUGGGUCGCAUGCGGAGUGCUUCUGUGGGUGGGUUGGGUCGGUGGGAGGAGUCUUGUUGAUUAGCAUGGGCUGCAUCUGAGUCAGUUUGUUGAACCGCUCUGUCGGGUUGGUGGGGGUAGGUAGGCCGCUGGGACUGGGUGGGGUUCGCCCGUUUGCUUGAGAAUCUGCACAGGGACGCGAGCAUCUUUAGUCUUGAUGAUCGCAUUG
rnacentral:rRNA from 1 species